CUUGUCAAAGGAAAAUACUCCUGAGCUGAAGUUAGCAAGCGACGCGGCUGCUAACUCACACGAGCCAAUGUUUCCGCUCUCUGUUACACAGACCUGGACGCUUGCAGUUGCCUAACACACUUUUGGUGAAGACUGUGUGCUGCUGAUUGUUAUGCUAGCUCCAGAAUAAAAAACAAGCCAGAGUGAGAGCCAGCCCUGUGUGGCAGUGCCAUCCUUCCUCACCACAGACAUAAGGGGACACCUCCACCAUCGCUCAACAGAUACACGCUUACACAUACACAAGAGUACAAGGCCCUACGGGAAAAGUCCCACGAGUCUGCGGUGUUGACGUCACCUGUUCAUUACGCCAACUGUUGUCCAACAGACGGACCUGUUUCUAUGCCACCAAACAAAAGCCUCGUCUCUGUCUCCUGGCAAAAUUAAACUUUCAGGCCCCUCAGGAGAGAAACUAUUCAUUAGCGAGUGACUCACUCACAUCUCUAAGUGUGUUCACAUUAACCCAGAGCUCCGUUCUGUUUGUCUUAAUCCUUUUGAAAAAAAAAAAGAACUGGAGUGUGAUACAGUCUUUACUCGACUCACCAGUCAAGUCAAAACAUCGAGUCACUCAAAUGUC